CGAUUCGUCACACCGGACACAUCUUGGCGUCACCUUUGUGUAUACUGCUACCAUAGGUAACAUAGGAAAUGACAAGGGUGGACACUCGAGCCGUUUCGCGGCCGAGCUAUGGAGAUUCGCCGAUUCCACUAGGUGGCAGGGCACAAGAAACACGUGGCAGCGGUCGUGGCUUGGCAGGCGGCACGAUCGAACACGUGCGAAGCCCAGCAUCUAUAGGUGUUCUGCGGCCCAGCCGGGCCCCGUCGCCGGGCUCGCGGCGUCGUUGUACUACGGUAGUUGUACUGUUAAAUGCGCCCGAGGAUCGUUGCUGGGUUCUUCUGUUAGCGUCCCACACUAGUGCUUCGUCGCCGUUUCAUGGAAUCUCCGCUAUUCCUUCCUCAAAAUACACUCUACAGCCAAAAGACACCAUGCAUAUUCAAGGGACAAUUUCCAAGUAUCCGAAGACGAUUGCAGGACUUCGAAGACUGCAUGCAGAUGAAGGCCCCCAACACAGUCGAAGUACUUAAUUGACUGAGAUGCCAAUAUCUUGCCGUUGUUUAAUUAGGAAAGCACUGGAUUGCACAUUCGAGAUGAGGAUAUUGGUGCGUUCCUAAUUAUUUUUGUAGCCAUUUUAUUUUGGCACGCAACCAUUCACAUAAUUUUGCUACCUUAAUUCACCUUCCUUCGCAGAAGUACAAGAAAAAGCGUCAUAUUUAUUUCUUUUAAAACAAUACCAUAUUGAGUAAAUUGCUGGCGUGUCUGUCUUUUUUCAUUCUUUGGAUAGUUGCAACACGUCUUGUGUGUGUUAUGCUUGUGUGAAGUUAUUGUCAUCACGUCAUUAAUUUCCGACUAUUCUCUAUUACUUACAUUUCGCAGUAUUUUGCCGUUUUAAUGUGUCUGCCACUUUUCUCAGUCUUGCUGCAAUAAAUUGUUUUCUGCUA